AAUAGAUACCCGGGUAGUCCACGCCGUAAACGAUGAAUGCUAGGUGUUAGGGGUUUCGAUACCCUUGGUGCCGAAGUAAACACAUUAAGCAUUCCGCCUGGGGAGUACGGUCGCAAGACUGAAACUCAAAGGAAUUGACGGGGACCCGCACAAGCAGUGGAGUAUGUGGUUUAAUUCGAAGCAACGCGAAGAACCUUACCAGGUCUUGACAUCCCCCUGACCGGUCUAGAGAUAGGCCUUUCCUUCGGGACAGGGGAGACAGGUGGUGCAUGGUUGUCGUCAGCUCGUGUCGUGAGAUGUUGGGUUAAGUCCCGCAACGAGCGCAACCCUUGAUCUUAGUUGCCCAGCACGUAAGGGUGGGCCCUCUAAGAUGACUGCCGGUGACAAACCGGAGGAAGGUGGGGAUGACGUCAAAUCAUCAUGCCCCUUAUGACCUGGGCUACACACGUACUACAAUGGCCGGUACAACGGGCAGCGAAGGGCGACCUGGAGCGAAUCCUACCAAAGCCGGUCUCAGUUCGGAUUGCAGGCUGCAACUCG
rnacentral:rRNA from 1 species